UACGGAGGGUGCGAGCGUUGUCCGGAAUCACUGGGCGUAAAGGGCGCGUAGGUGGCGCGAGGAGUCUGUGGUGAAAGCCCGAGGCUCAACUUCGGGUCGGCCGCGGAUACUCUCGUGCUGGAGGGUGGUAGAGGCCAAUGGAAUUCCGGGUGUAGCGGUGGAAUGCGUAGAGACCCGGAGGAACACCAGUGGCGAAGGCGGCUUCCUGGUCUGCAACUGACGCUGUGGCGCGAAAGCUAGGGGAGCAAACGGG
rnacentral:rRNA from 1 species